CUAUAGGUUUUAUUCAAAACCAUAAAAUUUUGAAUGCCUUUUAAAAU
rfam:Chlorocebus sabaeus isolate 1994-021 chromosome 18, whole genome shotgun sequence.